UUUUCUGACGCACACAUUUCAAGGCCACUGGAUGUAAACUGACUGCCACAUCUGUGUAAAUUUUGAAAAAAAGAAAUAAAUAAGUAUUCGAAGAAAAUGUGCAUAACUGAAAUGUGUGAGAACAGCUACAGGAAAUGAAUAUACACAGAGUAGAUAAUGUCGCCAUUCUUGCGUGGCGUGUGCCAUUCUCCAGAGGAGGAAAAAAUAUGAAAAAUCGUUGCGGCUUGUGAUGAUCUAACAGCGCUGACUUGUAUGAAAUCUGAACUGCCAUAGCUGGAAAUAUGAUACGAUUUGUAAUGAUGGAAUUGAAGUGAUGAUGGUUGUGUUGCACAAGGAUUGCUGGCGACUGUGGCAUGAGUUUUCACUUAACAAAAGCUGUGGUUGGUUAUAUUGUGAAUGGCAACUGACAAUUUGCACUUACGAGUACAAUAAAAAGCCACAACAACACACAACAUCCACUUUAAAGCCAACAGAGUCCCGAGUAAAUCAAGUGUAGCCACAACAACACCAACAACACAUCGAAGAAGAUUAUAUAGCUCCAAAUAAAGUAUGUGGCAGCAGGAAAGAUACAUUAAUGCUUGGGAAAAUCUUCAAAGUUAGCGGAAAAGCACGAAAUGGAUUUAUGCUGAAUUUGUAUGGCAAAAAAUGUGGUGUUGAAUCAAAGUGGCAGGAAAUUUAAAUAUGCUAAAGGAUAACAGAACGCGACAAAUUUGCAAAAAUAUAAGUCAACACGAUUAAACGCAAACCAAACUUGCCCAAGACUUGCCCAGUUCAGAAGAU